UACGUAGGGUCCAAGCGUUAUCCGGAAUCACUGGGCGUAAAGCGUGCGUAGGUGGUAAUUUGCGUGCAACGCGAAAUUGUGUGGCUCAGCCAUACAACGUUGUUGCAUACGGGAUUACUAGAGGACAUGAGAGGCAAGUGGAAUUACUGGUGUAGCGGUGAAAUGCGUAGAUAUCGGGAGGAACACCUGUGGCGA
rnacentral:rRNA from 1 species